rnacentral:tRNA from 1 species
GCCGGACUAGCUCAGUUGGUAGAGCGGCUGAUUUGUAAUCAGUAGGUCAAUGGUUCGAGUCCGUUGUCCGGCACCA